AGUGAACGCUGGCGGUAGGCCUAACACAUGCAAGUCGAACGGCAGCACAGUAAGAGCUUGCUCUUACGGGUGGCGAGUGGCGGACGGGUGAGGAAUACAUCGGAAUCUACUUUUUCGUCGGGGAUAACGUAGGGAAACUUACGCUAAUACCGCAUACGACCUACGGGUGAAAGCAGGGGAUCUUCGGACCUUGCGCGAUUGAAUGAGCCGAUGUCGGAUUAGCUAGUUGGCGGGGUAAAGGCCCACCAAGGCGACGAUCCGUAGCUGGUCUGAGAGGAUGAUCAGCCACACUGGAACUGAGACACGGUCCAGACUCCUACGGGAGGCAGCAGUGGGGAAUAUUGGACAAUGGGCGCAAGCCUGAUCCAGCCAUACCGCGUGGGUGAAGAAGGCCUUCGGGUUGUAAAGCCCUUUUGUUGGGAAAGAAAAGCAGCAGGUUAAUACCCCGCUGUUCUGACGGUACCCAAAGAAUAAGCACCGGCUAACUUCGUG
rnacentral:rRNA from 1 species